rnacentral:rRNA from 1 species
UUCGGGAAACCGGAGCUAAUACCGGAUAAUAUAUUUAACCGCAUGGUUCAAUAGUGAAAGACGGUUUUGCUGUCACUUAUAGAUGGAUCCGCGCCGCAUUAGCUAGUUGGUAGGGUAACGGCUUACCAAGGCAACGAUGCGUAGCCGACCUGAGAGGGUGAUCGGCCACACUGGAACUGAGACACGGUCCAG